rnacentral:sRNA from 2 species
UUUAAACCGGAGCGCGUUAGAGAUGGAAGCGAUAUCCUUUUGUGAUAAACCAGACUUCUUCUGUUUUAUUAAACUUCUAUCACAAAAGAUUUAGCGGACAGCCCGACCCGGA